rnacentral:misc_RNA from 1 species
UUUUUUUUUUUUUUACAUUCAUCAACAAAGAAUUUCUAUAAAGAUUAAAAGAAGCCAAAAGCUGUUCCCUUACAAUUCCUUCUGUACAUAGUAUUUAAUGCUGACACCCAAGAAUCCUCGCUUUGUGGGAGAAAAAGAAUAUAUAUUGGCACAAAAAGAAUCAAUUUCAAGAUAGAUCCUCCACCUGGUUAACUCAUUUACAACUGAAACAAGCUCAAGUAAUUGUGGUUACAAGUUACAAUUCUAAUCUGUACUCGUCCUAGGAUAUAUCAAAUGUCUGUAUUCGUAAACUAACAGAGAUGAUGGUGAGGGGAAAACCACUAUGCUGAACUAGAAAAGCAUGUUCCUGGCAUCUGCAAAUCAUCCCAGUAGCUAAGUGCAAAGGUAACCUUCUGACUGAAUGAAUUGUCAUCCCAGAAAAAGUUUAGCUAUACACAGAUGGUCACAGGUUGCAAAGUUUGAAUAAUCAGGUCAAUCUAUAUCUUCAAGUGUCUUCUACAAAAGCUCUCAAAAUGAAAUCUCGAAAUCGUUUUGAAUACUGCUUUGGAUCAACAGCAGAGAUUGAAGUCGGAUCAUAUUGCAUUGAUUUGUAUGCAUGCUCAAGCUUUUUGCUAAUAUCAUAGUCUUGUAGUAUGUCUAUUAUACCAAAAAAUAAAAUGAUUUCAUAUAAGUCUCCAGUUGCUUCACCAAUCAGACUUCCUUCACAAUUACUUCUUCUGAUUGUCUUUUCUGCCCUUGCUGGCAUGUUGAUGCCCAGUUUUAUGGAAGACCACCUGCGUAAUUCAUUUAAAGAGAAUAAGAAAAGCAUAGUUAUUGUACGAAUGGGAAUAGCAGUAAGUAAUUUAUAAGUGCGCGAACAGAGUUUGGAAAUAAGGAGAUAGCAAAUUCAGCAUUAUAAUAAGUCAGCAAGAUUGCCAAUUAGCCAUGGAAGCACCACGGAACAUGCAAACAAAAAUCAACGGAUUGUUGAUUUAUGCAACAAUGAGCUGACAUAUGAGAUCUUUUGAGCAGCUUAGAACUAUUUCUCACGUCUACUGAAUUUUAACUAGUCCACAACUUACUGUUUCAUACAUGAUAAAAUUGGAUUGCUAAUUAACCAAUUCUUUAUUAAUUAGCAGUCAAAACAUCCACAGAAGAGAGAGAGAGAGAUGAAUUUUGGUUAUGUAAGCUUAUUUUACCGAGCAGGGUCAAAAAUAAUCUUAUCCAUGUCUACUCUAGAAAGGCGUGGGAGUGCUCCAAAUUCAUUAUCUGGGUCUGCAUUUCCUGCUGGAAGGAACAAAAAGGACAUAAUUUCAUCAGUUCAGCAGGACUGGUUCAGAAAUUACAAAGUGGAGCAAAUUAGAUGACUAGAAAUAACCAGUAGGAGUUCUAAGUCCAGUGGGUGUGAGAAGUCCAGUUGGAGUGCGAAGGCCAGUGGGGGUCCUAACUCCAGAUGUACGAGGUGGUGUCAUGGUAUCCUUAUAUGAAGCUUCUCGAAAGUGAACACCAACCAAAAGACUGUAAUCCAUAAUUCUCUCUUGUUCAAGGAAGUCACAAUCUCUGUCCACUUGCCUGCAAAAAUCUUGGAACCAAACUUUCUGCAAUCGAAAUAUGUAAUUGAGAUCAAGAUCCUUGAGGGUUGUUGUCGGAUCAAUUUCUGAUUCAGGUUUAGCAGUUGUGCGACCAUGGGAAGAACCUUUCAAGUCAAAGCGCCUAUGAAUGGUAUACUCAGCACAGAACAGAUUCCCCAUUAUGACAAAUCGCACCUUCUUCUGGUUCGGACCAGCUAAUUUCACACAAUGAAGACCAUAAAAUUUGGUUACUAGAGUGUGCUCAAAUGCGCGAACAUGAUUGUAGUAAGCUGGCAGCAUCCUUAAGAGCACUUUUACUUCUGCCUUCUUCAUCGUCUUUAUCAUGUAGCGGUCAUCAUUUGUUAAGUAAAAGAAGCUUCCACUUUUGCCCGGGGAUGAGAGCUCCCUAAGGGCAUCAUUCCCACAUAUAGAUAGCAUGUAAUCAGCUGCAUCCACAUUGAACAAUUUCCUGAGAGUCCUGAAAAUUGGGUAGUGAAAGUCAGGCAACAAUUACAUUAACUAAAGUUAGAACAAUAAUGCUAUGAAAUGCAUAUGGCAUGUUUGGACAUCCAGUACCAUUAUAAAGUUUCCCACAGAAAAUAUAAGAUUAUUAUGAAAAUUGCGUAGAAAACUGAACUUCUAUCAGCAGAUUCUUACUAGAAAUAAUACUACAAGAGUCUAUGUCCCAAAUAGAUAAAAUGCAGAUGUAAUUUCAAAUCAUUUUUCAGAAAUAUGGCUUCUGUUUGGCACUGUAGCAGUUUGGUUGAAAUAAAAUGAUUCCUGCUAAAAGAGGCUUAGCCUUUGUAUAUAAAGUAGCGGUUUUCAAGCUGUAACCUGAAAACCAGAGGGCAGUAAUCCUUCCAUUUGAACUCACUAGACUGGUGAGGUGGAGUGUACUUGGAUCCUUCUGGAGGAAAUUUAGUCCAAACUUUUUCCUUGGGAUCAAAAGCUGAAGCCUUCAGAUCAAGAGAUAUAGCCGGAGCAGGUCGUCCCACUGAAUGUCUGAUUCCCAGCUGCAGAUUGAGCAUAAGCUCGUAGUUUUUAUGUCCUUUUGAUAUUGUCUCCCCUUGCUUCUUCGCAGGCUGUAAAUUCAACCUAUGCAUUCUUGAAUCUAAAUCAUCAAACUGACCAAACCCUUCAUCUCCAUCCCUCCAUUCCCCAUCCCCACCACCAAAAGAAACAUCAUUACUUUCCAUCGACGCUAGGCUAUAAUUACUUAAUCUCCCAUCCACGGACAUCCGCCUAGUCCUUCCAUCCUCAGCAUUCCCUUUAAUUGGCUUAACAAUCCCUUGAUCAAUCCCAGACCAAUUGAACGUCUUCUGUGAUGGGAAAAUUGACACCUUUUCACAAGCACAAAUCUGGCAAUCACUCAAGUCAUCCAAAAACACCUCUUGUGGAUCCCAAUCCAAAUUCCCUGACUUAGACCCAGAUGGAUAAUAAGUCCCAUUUUGCUCCUUAGGAUCUUUACUCCAAACUCCCACAUAGAAACUUCCAUCAGACCAUCUAAAAGUCCCAUUUCCUUUUGGCAACCCAUCUUCCCAAAACCCAUCAUAUCUAUUUCCAUUACCCCAAAUCAUAGUUCCAUUACCAUUCAUUAUACCAUUCUUCCAUUGACCAAUAUAAUGGUUCCCAUUCUUCCAUUGAUACCUUCCAUGCCCAUCUUGCAAACCUCUUCUCCAAUCACCUUCAUAGCAAUCUCCAGUGUAAUAACUCUUUGUGCCAUGUCCAUGUCUCAAAUUCAUAACCCAAGAACCCCUAUAAGUAUCACCUGAAGAACCUGUGUAAGUCCCUUUGCCAUCCAUAUAACCAGUCUUGAAAUCACCUUCAUACGUAGCACCAGAAGGCCAACUAAAUUUACCCUUUCCCAUUGUUUUCCCUUUGUACCAUUCACCAACAUACAUGCACCCAUCUGUCCAGAGGUAUUUGCCAUGGCCAUGAGGGAGGCCUUCAUGCCAUUGGCCAGAGUAGAACUCUCCACUGGGAAAAACUCUCUCUGCAUUGUAGACAGACUCGGUGCAAGAAAGAUCAUCAUCAUCUGCAUGAGCUACUGCUGCUGACAUCAUGGUGCCAAAGAUGGAGUUGGAUCUUUUCUUUAUAGCAGCUUGUGAUUUUCUUACCGUUGCUUCCCGGCCCUUUACACAACCUCUAUUCUCUUUGCUCAUUCUCUAUCCCACUCUCUACCUACAGAAAGACCAACUCUUUCUACCUCUCCAGCAUUUCUUCUCUUUUGCCUGUUCUCCCUCUCCCAUUUUCUCUAUGGUAUUGUGUGGUUUUCAGGACAAAAGACACAUUUUUGCAGCAAACCCAGAAUAGGGAAAAUUGGAGGGAAUCAAACAUAGCAAAAACAAGAACAUCAAUCUGUGUUGUUUUUCGUUUUGUUCGUUUUUCAAUAGUGUAUUGGGUACCUUGAGCUGCUGUGAUGGUUUCAUGAAAUGGGUGUUUAUGGGACUUCGAAAAGAAAAAUUGAGUAGCUGUCCUGUUAGAUUAAUGGGGAAAGCAAAAAGAGGUUAGCAUGACUGGCUUUUUCUUUCUUUG